UUAUUGAAAUGUUUAAGUAGCAAGUAUGCGAAAUGUUAUUUUUAAGGUGCACACUUUUGUUGUUGAUAAUGAAUUAACGAUGAUGUGGUGUAGAAAUCUGAUAUAUCAUAUACUGCUUUUAAGAAAACGUUGGGAUGCACAUGAUGCCUUUAGGGUCUGCACCUCGUCGUUAUCUUUUUGGGGUAGUUCUACAUGCAUGUAUGACAUGAAGGCAAGACUGAGCAACAUACUCGAUGGAUUAUUGCCUAUGUUAUGAUAGGACUUCUUGGUAGAUUAACAUAUAAAAUGGAUUAACC
rnacentral:lncRNA from 1 species